GACAGAGGUGCCAAGCGUUAGGCGGAAUCACUGGGCUUAAAGCGUGUGUAGGCGGAUCGUUAAGUGUCUUGUGAAAUCCCACGGCUCAACCGUGGAACUGCUCGACAUACUGGCGAUCUUGAGCAACCUAGGGGCGAGCGGAACAAAUGGUGGAGCGGUGAAAUGCGUAGAUAUCAUUUGGAACGCCAAUGGUGAAAACAGCUCGCUGGGGGUUUGCUGACGCUGAGACACGGAAGCCAGGGGAGCGAACGGG
rnacentral:rRNA from 1 species